rnacentral:lncRNA from 1 species
AGGAUUCAGUUGGAUUUGAGAUUAACUAGGUCCUAAGUAUAUGGUCCAUGAACUUGGGUAUGGUUCGUGGUGUUUGGUUCAUGGGAUAUGGUUUAUGAUUCAGAACUUGGUGUAUGGUUUAUGGGUUUGGUUUAUGGUUCAUGGGACUCGGUUCAUGAACUUGGGUACGGUUCAUGGAAUAUGGUGUAUGGUUCAUGAGAUUUGGUUUAUGGAUAUGGUUCAUAGUUUAUGGUUUCAUGAAUUUGGUGUAUGGUUUAUGGUUCAUGGUGUAUGAUUCAUGAACUUGGUUCAUUUGGUUCAUGGUUCAUGAGGUUAGAUAUGUGGGAUUUGGUUCAUGAACUUGGUGUAUGGUUCAUGGUGUUUGGUUCACGAACUUGAUUCAUGGUUUAUGGUGUUUGAGGUUUAUGGUUUAUGGGAUUUAGUUCAUGAACUUGGGUAUGGUUCGUGGUAUUUGGUUCACGAACUUGGUUCAUAGUUUAUGGUGUUUGAGGUUUAUGGUUUAUGGAAUUUAGUUCAUGAACUUGGGUAUGGUUUACGGGUGAGGUUUAUGAACUUGGCUCAUGAAUCUUGGUUUAUGGACUUGAUUCAUGAUUCAUAAACUUGGUUUAUGGUUUAUGAAGUUGGGUAUAUUGGAUAUGGUUCAUGAACUUGGAUAUGGUUCAUGGACUUGGUACAUGGUUCAUGAGAUUUGACUCAUGAACUUGGUGUAUGGUUUAUGGGCCUUGAUUCAUGAACUUGGGUUAUGAUCCGUGGUGUUUGGUUCACGAACUUGGGUAAGGUUCAUGGAUAUGGUUCGUGGUUCAUGAACUUGGUUUAUGAGUUUUGGUUCAUGAGACUUGAUUCAUGAACUUGGGUAUAGGAUUUGGGAUUUGGUUCACGAACUUAGGUAUGGUUUAGGUUCAUGAGCCUAAGUUGGAAGUUGGAUUUGGGUUUUAGGUUUGGAUUUGGAUUGUGGACUUGAUUUGGGUUGGGUUUGGGUUUUGGUUUUGGGUUCGGGUUUCGGUUUGGAUUUUGGUUUUGUUUUGGUUUGGGUUUGGAUUUGAUUUGGUUUGGGUUUGGGUUUAUUUGUGGAUUUGGGUUUGGAUUUGGGUUUUGGUUUUAUUUGUGGAUUUGGUUUUGGUUUGGGUUUGGGUUUAUUUGUGUUUUGGGUUUGGUUUGUGUAACAAUGUGAAUUCUCGGAAUCCGAGAGUUGCACUUCGUCCGGAAUCGACUAACUGUCGAGUGG